rnacentral:rRNA from 1 species
UACGGAGGGUGCAAGCGUUAUCCGGAUUCACUGGGUUUAAAGGGUGCGUAGGCGGGCAGGUAAGUCAGUGGUGAAAUCUCCGGGCUUAACUCGGAAACUGCCGUUGAUACUAUAUGUCUUGAAUUAUCUGGAGGUGAGCGGAAUAUGUCAUGUAGCGGUGAAAUGCUUAGAUAUGACAUAGAACACCAAUUGCGAAGGCAGCUCACUACGGAUUGAUUGACACUGAGGCACGAAAGCGUGGGGAUCAAACAGG